UUCCAAACAGUACUGCAGUAUUCGAGA
rnacentral:sRNA from 1 species